rnacentral:rRNA from 1 species
CCUACGGGUGGCUGCAGUCGAGAAUCAUUCGCAAUGGGCGCAAGCCUGACGAUGCGACGCCGCGUGCAGGAUGAAGGUCUUCGGAUUGUAAACUGCUGUGAUGGGGGAGCAAUGUGUCUUGGAUUAACACCCCUUGACAUUGAUAGUACCCCAAGAGGAAGCCACGGCUAACUCUGUGCCAGCAGCCGCGGUAAUACAGAGGUGGCAAGCGUUGUUCGGAUUUACUGGGCGUAAAGGGUGCGUAGGCGGUUUUGUGUGUCGGAUGUGAAAUCCCACGGAUCAUCUGUGGAACUGCAUUCGAAACUGCAGAGCUUGAGUGCAGGAGAGGAAAGUGGAAUUCUCGGUGUAGCGGUGAAAUGCGUUGAUAUCGAGAGGAACGCCGGAGGCGAAGGCGACUUUCUGGACUGCAACUGACGCUGAGGCACGAAAGCUAGGGGAGCAAACAGGAUUAGAUACCCUAGUAGUC